GCCAGACUCCUACGGGAGGCAGCAGUGAGGAAUAUUGGUCAAUGGGCGGAAGCCUGAACCAGCCAAGUCGCGUGAGGGAAUAAGGCCCUACGGGUCGUAAACCUCUUUUGCCGGGGAGCAAGGGCGGGGACGUGUCCCGGCCCGGAGAGUACCCGGAGAAAAAGCAUCGGCUAACUCCGUGCCAGCAGCCGCGGUAAUACGGAGGAUGCGAGCGUUAUCCGGAUUUAUUGGGUUUAAAGGGUGCGUAGGCGGCCGGAAAUGGCAGCGGAAAAAGCCGGGGGCCCACCCCCGGCGAGCCGUUGAAACUGUCGGACUAGAGACGGCGAGAAGUACGCGGAAUGCGCGGUGUAGCGGUGAAAUGCAUAGAUAUCGCGCAGAACUCCGAUUGCGAAGGCAGCGUACCGGCGCCGGACUGACGCUGAGGCACGAAAGCGUGGGUAUCGAACAGGAUUAGAUACCCUUGUA
rnacentral:rRNA from 1 species